rnacentral:rRNA from 1 species
CGUGUAGGCGGACCGGCAAGUCAGGCGUGAAAUCCCCAGGCUCAACCUGGGAACUGCGCUUGAAACUGCCGGUCUUGAGUAUCGGAGAGGGUGGCGGAAUUCCUGGUGUAGAGGUGAAAUUCGUAGAUAUCAGGAGGAACACCGGUGGCGAAGGCGGCCACCUGGACGAUUACUGACGCUGAGACGCGAAAGCGUGGGGAGCAAACA